rnacentral:rRNA from 1 species
GACGAACGCUGGCGGCGUGCUUAACACAUGCAAGUCGAACGGAAAGGCCCUGCUCUUGUGGGGUGCUCGAGUGGCGAACGGGUGAGUAACACGCGAGUAACCUGCCCUUGACUUUGGGAUAACUUCAGGAAACUGGGGCUAAUACCGGAUAGGAGCUCCUGCUGCACGGUGGGGGUUGGAAAGUUUCGGCGGUUGGGGAUGGACUCGCGGCUUAUCAGCUUGUUGGUGGGGUAGUGGCUUACCAAGGCUUUGACGGGUAGCCGGCCUGGGAGGGUGACCGGCCACAUGGCGCCUACGGUACGGCCCAGACUCGUACGGGAGGCAGUGGUGGGGAAUAUUGCAGAGUGGGCGGAAGCCUGAUGCAGCAACGCCGCGUGCGGGAAGACGGCCUUUGGGUUGUAAACCGCUUUCGCCUGUGACGAAGCGUGAGUGACGGUAAUGGGUAAAGAAGCACCGGCUAACUACGUG